AAAAAAGGCUUUGGAGUAUAAACGUCUCUUCCACCACAGCCCAGCCCAGCAGCUCCCUUGCCUUCAUAGCUUCCCAAACCAUGGGGUCUCACUAACUGGGUAAAGAGAGAAAAAUCUGAGAGUUUAUUAUAGUGUAAAUUUAGCUCUGUACAAUCUGUGUGUGCUAGCCCUGAGUAAAGCACCACCGUGCAACCACAUGAGAAGGUAUUCCUAUACACAGUUCUGCCAAGUUUCAAUUUGGUUUUUGGAGGUCUUUGUUUUGUUUUGUUUUUAUGACCAGUCUCAUGCUGCUUGGCAUUUCCUUUAAUGCCUGGCUCCUAGACUCGUGUGAUUAUGCAGAAAAUGUUUGAACAAAAGUGAGGGUCCAAUUUGCCCUGUCUUGGAGAAAAACUAGGAGACCUCGUGCCUCAGAGAAGCGCCACAAGAUGGCAAGCAGAGCGGUGCCAAACUAAACCUGCACCUCAAUCAGCAUGACCAUAAAUUGAUCAAAUGAGCUGAGGGCUGGAGUCCGGUUUCUUGAGCAUUGUGGCCACCAGCCACAGUAUAAGUCAGACCCAUUUUUAAAAGAAAGACCAUCCAAGGUAUUUUGUUUGAUAUGGGCAAAAUACAGUCACAUUCAGUAGCAACAGUUCAUCUUGACUAGUCCUGAGUCCCUGAGCAUCUUCUCCUCGUCUGCUGUGCCCACAGAGAUGUAGGAUAGGAUCCAUCUGCCCUAACUUCAGCCAUCUGGUUAGGUGCUCUAUAACCAAGCUAGCUGCUUGGGUUUCUACUAUAAUCGACAGAGCAAUGCAGACAGCUUGAAAAGGUGACACAUCGCUCCCUUUAAUAGGUACCUAGGAUGGUGGGCAUUAAUUGCCCUCCGUUUUUCUCAACUGAAUACAGAGGGUGUCCAGACUUGGCCGAUACAUUACCGGUAUGUGCCUAAAGUUAGUGAAGAUAAAUCCCAUCUGCAGUCAGUGCUGGAUCUGAUAACUCAACUGCUGAAGCCACAUUUGAAAUGCAGACCUUGCUUUUAGAAAAAGGUUGUGUUUCUAAUGAAGGAAAACAUGUUGUAUCACUGAUCCAUAUCGCAGCGCUCAUGCUGUCUGCUAUCAAGACUAGGCAAGCUCUAAACACAGGAUCUCAGAUUUUUAUUCAUACCUGCAGAAAUAAAACCAGAAG
rnacentral:lncRNA from 1 species